CCGUGGUAGGUGGGGACAACGUUUCGAAAGGAACGCUAAUACCGCAUACGUCCUACGGGAGAAAGCAGGGGACCUUCGGGCCUUGCGCUAUCAGAUGAGCCUAGGUCGGAUUAGCUAGUUGGUGAGGUAAUGGCUCACCAAGGCGACGAUCCGUAACUGGUCUGAGAGGAUGAUCAGUCACACUGGAACUGAGACACGGUCCAG
rnacentral:rRNA from 1 species